rnacentral:rRNA from 1 species
AUACAUAUACCUUAAAUUUAUAUAAGUAUAAUAUAAAAAAAAGUAAUAAAUUAAUAACUUGUUAUUAGAAAGGUUGAGAAUAAUAGUUGUAGGUAAAAUUUAGAAUUGUUAUUAUUAAUUAGGUUUUUCUAAGAUUUAAGCUUUGAAAAUAAGAUUUUGUGAAAACUAGGAUUAGAUACCCUAUUAUUCUUUAUUUUAAAUUUUUUUUUAUUUAAGUAGUGUAAAUAAAUUAUAUAAUUAAUUAUAUUUGAAACUUAAAAAGCUUGGCGGUGCUAUAGAUCCAUUUAGGGGAGCUUGUUUAUUAAUUUGAUAAUCCACAAUUAAUUCUUACUUUUUUUUGAAUAAUUUAUCAGUUUGUAUAUUGCUGUCAUCAGUUUAUUUUGUGAAAAUUAUUAAAGGACUUAAAAGUGUAUUUGCUAGC